GUGAGGAAUUUUCCGCAAUGGGCGAAAGCCUGACGGAGCAAUGCCGCGUGAAGGAUGAAGGCCUAUGGGUUGUAAACUUCUUUUCUCAGAAAAGAAUUAUGACGGUAUCUGAGGAAUAAGCAUCGGCUAACUCUGUGCCAGCAGCCGCGGUAAGACAGAGGAUGCAAGCGUUAUCCGGAAUGAUUGGGCGUAAAGCGUCUGUAGGUUGUUUAAAAAGUAUUCUGUCAAAGAUUAGGGCUUAACCCUAGAUAGGCAGAAUAAACUUUUAAGCUAGAGUUGAGUAGAGGCAGAGGGAAUUCCCGGUGGAGCGGUGAAAUGCGUAGAUAUCGGGAGGAACACCAAAGGCGAAGGCACUCUGCUGGGCCAAUACUAACACUGAGAGACGAAAGCGAGGGGAGCAAAUGGGAUUAGAUACCCCAGUAGUCC
rnacentral:rRNA from 1 species